rnacentral:rRNA from 1 species
GACUGCUAAUACCGCAUGAUAGCUACGGCUCAAAGGGGGCUUCGGCUCUCGCCUUUAGAGAAGCCCAUUUGGGAUUAGAUAGUUGGUGGGGUAAUGGCCUACCAAGUCAACGAUCCCUAGCUGGUCUGAGAGGAUGAUCAGCCACACUGGAACUGAGACACGGUCCAGACUCCUACGGGAGGCAGCAGUGGGGAAUAUUGCACAAUGGGCGCAAGCCUGAUGCAGCCAUGCCGCGUGUGUGAAGAAGGCCUUCGGGUUGUAAAGCACUUUCAGCGAGGAGGAAGGGUU